rnacentral:rRNA from 1 species
UACGAAGGGGGCUAGCGUUGUUCGGAAUUACUGGGCGUAAAGCGCGCGCAGGCGGUUCUCCAAGUCAGUGGUGAAAGCCCGGAGCUCAACUCCGGAAUUGCCAUUGAAACUGUUGAACUCGAGGACGAGAGAGGUGAGUGGAAUUCCCAGUGUAGAGGUGAAAUUCGUAGAUAUUGGGAAGAACACCGGUGGCGAAGGCGGCUCACUGGCUCGUUUCUGACGCUCAGGCGCGACAGCGUGGGGAUCAAACAGG